GCCUGCUUGGCGCAGUGGUAACGCGUUCCACUUGUAAUGGAAAGAUCAUUGGUUCGAUUCCAGUAGUAGGCA
rnacentral:tRNA from 1 species